rnacentral:rRNA from 1 species
GACAGAGGCCUCGAGCGUUAGGCGGAAUCACUUGGCUUAAAGCGUGUGUAGGCGGGCCCGUAAGUGUCUUGUGAAAUCCCACGGCUCAACCGUGGAACUGCUGGGCAUACUGCGGGUCUUGGGCCAACUAGGGGCAGCCGGAACAAGCGGUGGAGCGGUGAAAUGCGUAGAUAUCGCUUGGAACGCCGAAGGUGAAAACAGGCUGCUGGGGUUGCGCCGACGCUGAGACACGAAAGCCAGGGGAGCAAACGGG